GGAGAGUUUGAUCAUGGCUCAGAUUGAACGCUGGCGGCAGGCCUAACACAUGCAAGUCGAGCGGUAGCACAGGAGAGCUUGCUCUCCGGGUGACGAGCGGCGGACGGGUGAGUAAUGUCUGGGAAACUGCCUGAUGGAGGGGGAUAACUACUGGAAACGGUAGCUAAUACCGCAUAACGUCUUCGGACCAAAGUGGGGGACCUUCGGGCCUCACGCCAUCAGAUGUGCCCAGAUGGGAUUAGCUCGUAGGUGGGGUAAUGGCUCACCUAGGCGACGAUCCCUAGCUGGUCUGAGAGGAUGACCAGCCACACUGGAACUGAGACACGGUCCAGACUCCUACGGGAGGCAGCAGUGGGGAAUAUUGCACAAUGGGCGCAAGCCUGAUGCAGCCAUGCCGCGUGUGUGAAGAAGGCCUUCGGGUUGUAAAGCACUUUCAGCGAGGAGGAAGGGUGGUGUGUUAAUAGCACAUCACAUUGACGUUACUCGCAGAAGAAGCACCGGCUAACUCCGUGCCAGCAGCCGCGGUAAUACGGAGGGCGCAAGCGUUGUCCGGAUUCACUGGGUGUAAAGGGUGUGUAGGCGGGACGGUAUGUCAGAGGUGAAAGCCCACGGCUCAACCGUGGAAUUGCCUUUGAAACUGCCGUUCUUGAGUCUCGGAGAGGUCGCUGGAAUUCGUGGUGCAGCGGUGAAAUGCGUAGAUAUCACGAGGAACACCAGAGGCGUAGGCGGGCGACUGGGCGAGUACUGACGCUGAGGCACGAAAGCGUGGGGAGCAAACAGGAUUAGAUACCCUGGAAUCACUAGUGCGGCCGCCUGCAGGUCGACCAUAUGG
rnacentral:rRNA from 1 species